GGGAAAUUUGAAUUUGGUUCAAGUUUCAGUUCCUGUAAUGGAGGACGAGCGAGGGAACUAGCGGAGGAUGCACUCCUCCGUGCCCAGUGCCCAGCAGAAGCUCUGGGUCAGGUUGGACGCACUGGCAUCUCCAAGAGGACACCCUUCCCUUUCCUGCAUUAUCUGCCAGAGACCACACCCACUAUCAGCAAAUUGGUCCGGAACAUAUGACGUAUGCUCUUCUCCACCUUUGCACCCUACCACAAAAACCAUGCAUGAAAACAGUCUCCUAUUACUGCUAGGUGACAAGAAAGGUGGAGGGCAGCAGCUGAAGAAACAUGCGUGAAGAGGCUAUAGUCAAAGAAAGGGUGUAAGAACGAUAGGAAAAUGUCUUAGCCACUGGGAAGUGUCUUCUAGCAUGCUUCCCCUUUCUUGCUGAUUGCAUCUCGGUGUAGUGCAAGGAGGCCAGGCAGCCUCUGAGAAGACUCUUCUUAGUAGUAAACACACUCCUCUUUCCUGUAUACCCGCCACGGUUUACAUCUCUCCCUCUGAUACAAGGAAAAUGCAAAGCACUUCUAUGCCAAUAAUUCCUCUACUUAUGUUUGCUUCAAUGCCAGCUAUUUCGCUCAAUUGACUGUAUGUGUCUUUCCUUUCCUGCAUAAU